GCCAAAAUUGAAUCGAUCUCAAUUUCUCUCGUCUAACUCUCCUUCUAUUAUCGAACCCUCAUCGAAGCAAGCACCGCCGGAGACGGCGGUGAACUUCCGUUCACCAGAUCCGGUCCACUACCACUCCCCACAUCCUAUUCUAGCCCCCGCUUCUAUCUCUUGCCUCAUUAUCUAUCUCGUGUCUAUAUGGUAGGUCGAGUCCAUUUAGUUACCAUCGCAAGCUUGUGGUCGUUCUCUGACCAUUUUCUACAGGUAAUGGCAUCCCAUCGCCGGCCCCCUAGGUUUGCCAUCAGCCAUUGCUUAGAUUAAACUAUUCCCCGCUCAAUCUCAGGUUGUCCCCAUUGUUCUCCCUGUUUCAUGGUUAUCUCUCUUCUUCAUGGUUUCUCGAUGUGGGGAUAGAGAUGGAUCAAUUUUGACUUGUGAGUUGAGGGGCAAAAGAGAAAGGAGAAAGACAAGUUGUAUGCGACUGCUACCAUAACAUACCAAUUUAGGUAAUCCGACAGGUGAUACCCUAGCUAUUGUCAAGGCAUUUGUUACCGCUGUUAGAGUCCUGGUGACUGUACUUAUUCUCCCAAGUAAUGCCGGAGUGAAAUGCUCAAUGAGGUACUCGACGAAGAAAACAUCAAGUGGACUUACAAGGUUGUACAAUUUCUUUAAAAAUGUUUAUUCUUUUGGGAAUUAAAUUACUUUAGAUGAUGAUAUAAUUCUUAUAUAUCAUUGGAAACACAUUGCAGUUGGUUGACCGCCUCUGAUUGCUUUAUUUGUGAUUUUGCACUCGAUGAGCUUGGUCGUUCAUAGUUGUAUUUGUUAGUCGACCUUAGGAUUGUGCAAUUUGAUACCAUAUUUAUUUAUUUCACGUAUUACCUUUGAAUUUGGGGAUCAAGUGUUAGCAAGUUGUUUGGUUGUUAUGGUGUAUGGCAUGGUGACUUUUGAAGAUGUUUUAAA